AACAAACGCUGGCGGCGUGUCUUAAGCAUGCAAGUCGAGCGGCAAGGGCAGCAAUGCCCCUAGAGCGGCGGACUGGUGAGUAACGCGUGGGUGAUCUACCUAGGGCAUGGGGAUAGCCAUUAGAAAUAGUGGGUAAUACCGAAUACGCUCGCAUGGAUGCGUCCAUGCGAGGAAAGGUGCUACGGCACCGGCCUAUGAUGAGCUUGCGUCUGAUUAGCUAGUUGGUGAGGUAAAGGCCCACCAAGGCGAUGAUCGGUAGCCGGCCUGAGAGGGUGUACGGCCACACUGGGACUGAGAUACGGCUCAGACUCCUACGGGAGGCAGCAGCUAAGAAUAUUCCGCAAUGGACGAAAGUCUGACGGAGCGACGCCGCGUGGAUGAUGAAGGCCGAAAGGUUGUAAAGUCCUUUGCUGGGAAGAAUAAGCGUGGGAGGGAAUGCCCGCGUGAUGACAUGAACCGGCGAAUAAGCCCCGGCUAACUACGUG
rnacentral:rRNA from 1 species